GAUGAACGCUGGCGGUCUGCUUAACACAUGCAAAGUCGAACGAGAACGGACUUAAGCUUGCUUAAGUUGUCAGCUAAGUGGCGCACGGGUGAGUAAUGUAUAGUUAACCUGCCCUCUAGAGAGGAAUAACAGUUGGAAACGACUGCUAAUGCCUUAUAUGCCUUUAAAGACAGAAGUCUGCAAGGGAAAUGCUUUAGUGCUAGAGGAUGGGUCUGUAUGGCAUCAGUUAGUUGGUGGGGUAAAUGGCUUACCAAGACAAUGACGCCUAAACUGGUUUGAGAGGAUG
rnacentral:rRNA from 1 species